AAGUAAUGAUGGUUUGGCUAAUGAUACAAAUGGAUCAAAAUCUUGACGGUAUAUAUCAUAUAUAUGGGUCUGUUCAAGAAUAUUGGUAUAUAUCUUAUCUAAGGGAAUGUGAAUCCACUUUGUGUUUGUGCACGAGAUUAAUUAUAGGCAGAAUUUAACCAGGGGGCUUAGCCCACUGGCCACCGGGUCCUCACUUUAGUGAAGUGACCCGGGUUCGAUCCCUCUUGGGAGCGAAUUUGGAGAUUGGAGAUAUAAGGUGGAUUUUGGUGAAUGGAGAGAUAAGGUGGUUCUUGGAAUGGAUGGGGAACUAAUUACUAACAUUUAACAUGACUUUGCCCGAUAAAAAAAAAUUAUAGCCAGAAUUUAGCUCAUUUCUAUAUAAUAACCUUUUUGCUUUAAUCAUUGCAUAAGUGACGUUCUAAGCUAAUGAGAAGUGUGAUUAGGUUGUUUGUGGUAGCACUGCACCUUUAUAAUUUUAUUGUUUAAACCUUUUUUGUAGUGACAAUGAGAUGAGAGCAAUGAAGUUCUGGGAUUGGUACUUGAAGAUAGCAGUUGGGUCAGCGAUGGUUGGUGGUUCAAUGGAGCUUUUCAUGAUUAAAACCGGUUUCUGUACGAUAAAGUAGCAGUUUUGGAGUCAGAGAAGAGGGCUUGGGAGAGUUCACCUGAAGCUCAGGCCAUGAGAGAAGCUCUCAAUCCUUGGGGGGAUCAAGAGAAGAAAGGAAAGAAAAGUUCCUAGUUGCGUUUUAGAAUGGACUCCGUCUGGUCUGGUUUGCAUAUCCAAUCCGCACUCAGUCAGAGUUACCUUUCCACUAAUAUCGAGGUUUCAAUUCUUGCAUCUCUUCUCGCGUUUAAUUACAAUUCUGAAAAAUCAUUUUUGCACCUACUAUGCACCUAUCGACUUACAUUGCGUCUACAGAAAAUGGGCAGUUUGGAAGAUCAGAAUAUCUUGUUUGCUGAUUGCUGUUGAUGAAACUUUGAUCCCUGCCUUUGUUGCAGUUUUUAUUGUUGAAUCCAAUUGAUUGGUUUGAGUUAUUGCUGGUACAAGUUUUUUGUGUGUUUUGGAAAUAAUGUGUAGUUUGUUGGCAUUUCCAUUCUGUCAAUGUAGUGCAGUUUGGAGCAUAAAAUCUUAAUCAAACAUCAAUUUAACGCUUA